GAGGUGUUAUGAUUUGAUCAUGGCAGGCUGUGAACGCUCUCCUUUAUUUUCCAGGGGCCUAAAGGGGAGAGGGGCGAGAAGGGAGAAGCAGGACCACCUGGAGCUGCUGGGCCAGCUGGUCCCAAGGGACCCCCUGGUGAAGAUGGCCCCAAGGGUAACCCUGGUCCAGUUGGAUUUCCUGGAGACCCAGGUCCCCCUGGUGAGCCAGGAAUCGCUGGCACUGAUGGCACGUCAGGUGAGAAGGGAGAAAACGGAGAGCCUGGUCAGCCUGUAAGUUUAUUAUUAUUUUCACUCCAAGAUACUGUGUACUUCCACCCCCACACUUCAUACUUUCAUAUUGAAAUUUGAAAUUUCAUAUUGAAAUUAAAUCUGAAAACAUUUUAACCGAAUGGUAGCCACAAUAACAUGAUGCACUUUUGAAGACAUUACAGGAGGUCCCGCAAACCCAUACGUUCCGCAAAACCCAUCAUAAAUCGAAAAUUUUGUAAGUCGAAAAUGCAUGUAAUACACCUAACCUCCCGAACAUCAUAGCCUAGCAUGCGUGCAAUGGCCAUUACAGGCUUGCCACCUUCGUGCUGAGCAAUUAUCUUGAGUUUCUCCUCAAGAGUAAUUGCCCUCCUCUUCUUCUUCCCGCCAGUAGCAGGAGACACAGAUGGGCGUUUCUGUGACAUUAUUGAUGCACAAAACACAACAUAGAUACAGGGGGGUAUCUGUACAGCAACUGCAUGGCAGGCUGGGAGAAGCGGAUUGCUGCUGCUGCCAAGCAUCACGAGAGAGUAUCGCACCCCACAUCGCUUUCCCGGGGGGGGGGGGGGGGGGAAUCAAAGUUCGAAGUACGGUUUCUACUGAAUGUCUAUGACCAGCUCACCAUCGUAAAGUCAAAAAAUCAUAAGUCUCAC
rnacentral:lncRNA from 1 species